rnacentral:misc_RNA from 1 species
UGUGGGAGCGAGCCUGCUCGCGAAGGCGCCUGCCCAGUCAACAUAAUUGUUGAAUGACAGACCGCUUUCGCGAGCAGGCUCGCUCCCACA